UCGCCUUGGCCUCCCAAAGUGCUGGGAUUACAGUCUCCUCACCUUGGGCAAUUUAAUCCCUCUGGACUUUGGUUUCCUAACUCGUGAGAUGACAAUAGUAGUUUCUUUCUAAUUUGGCUGUUUUUAGGUAUAAACGAAAAGAAUAUAUAGGUAAAGUGCUUAGUACAACCGUCUGGGAAAUAGCAAAGUCCCCAUAAUGCCAGCUGCCGUUACUGUUAUGUCUAGUAUCGAACUUCUCCUGGAAAUCAGCCACCUCUCUCCUUGAGCCCUGUCCAGGGCCAGUGGGUUUUUGGUAGUGUAGAGGGGCAACUCCUAUCUUGCAAGGAACGGCAAGAGGUCGGGGCAAGCAGCUCUCUCUGGUCACUUCUUCAAGGGGGUGGUUGCUGAGGCUUUGGAAGGGAAUUUAGUGAGCUCAGACCCUCUCAAGGCUACUGUGCUCCAAGUAUGUGGCAGUUCAUUUCAAGCUUGAUGGCACACUCUUUGCAGAGCAGUUGCCAAGGAACGAGGUAAUCUUGUGACAGAAAUACUGCCUGAUGCUGUCAGUUUGAUGGUCGAAAAGGUUUUAGGUGGUAUCAAAUUUUAUUACUAGCAUUCCUGGUCUCCAUGAAAGAACCACAUAAGAAGACAAGUUAUGUCAAAGGACAAAACCACAGACCUAGAUGGGCACCGUGCAUACAGCAGACACUUGGUUUCCUUUUGAUAUUGACUCAAACAGGGACUGGAUUAAAAAAAGAAGAAAAUAACAACAAGACCACAGACUUAAGCUGAUCAGUGGUCUAACACUGGCAAGAUUACUUUUGUUGAUAAAUUGAUUUCUUGGGAAAUCCUGGGAAAGUUCCUGGACGUGACCCUGUGGUCCUACCACCACUAGCUACCUGUGACCUUGGGUGAGUCAGCAAGUGGAUGCAAAGGGAACACACACAGCACGGUGCCACAGCGGGCACCACCUGCCCCCCGCCGUCACAGAUGGCUUGCAAAUAAGCUACUCACGUACUUCCUGAGAUCUGCUGCACCCAAACACACCAAGCUCAGAGAGGCUUUUGAGGCAGACAAGGGCAGGGAGAGAGGAUGGUUCUUCUCGCAUGGGUAUUUAAGGAGUGUAGUGUCAUGCGUGAGUGACUUUUUGGUUAGUAAGUUCUGCUGAUUACAUGAAGCAAUGGGAUAACUAUCACGGCCAAAAGAGUAUUCCUACUGCAGGCUCAGUAAGACUUUCUAAUGAUAUUGAAGUAGUAGUUCCCUGAAAAGAGCUACUAUGAUCACAUGGCUUGGUUAACUGUUUCUUACAAGUCUGAGCAUGAAUUUAACACACACGAACUAUACACUGACAAAGACAGGAUGCUCCUGAAAUAAAAUCACAGCAUCUUAUUGCAUAUACUACAUCAUCCAAGGUCAAAACCCUUUCAUAGAGACAUUUAAAACUAUAACCAAGUAAAAGAGAAAAUAGAUGCAAAUUUGCUUUUACAAAAUUUGAAAAUCAACCAAAAGAGUAAGGCACAAGAUGCAGUCAGCUACAAAGCACUUCAGAGAACAGCGCUUUGCUCUCAGGUCUGGGACCCACCCCCUGGGCAAGGCCGCCUGGCAGCAGGCAGGAACCAAACCCCUGCCACCUCCACUCACUCCCAGGGUUCCUCUUUGCAGGAUGGUGGGGAGCGCAGGCACCAAGGCAGGAAGGCCAGGGCAGGAAGAUGCCCCGCGUCCUUCACUUUCCCUCAGUGUGAGCACACCAAGUUCCCUCUAACCAGGAGAACAGGACCCUAGGCACCAAAAGUCAAGCAUGAGGGACUGCCACAGGCAGUCUGGCAGGUGUCUUUCAGAUGCUAAAGUGCCAGGGUUUGCAGGAUACUUGGAUGGUUUACAGUGAUGAUGAGUUGGAGUCUUUAAACUCAAUGGUGUCCUAGAUACUCAGUUAGGAUGAUAGUGAUCCCAUCCAUCCCGUGGUUGGUCACUGAGCUGCGUACGAAGCUGGCCUAGAAUCAGACCCCGCAUCCAUAGGGAGAAAUCAUCACCCUCUACCGGGAUCUGGAUUUGUUUUCAGGAUCUAUUCUCAUGAAGGAGACUUGAGAAGCUGAGAAACUCCAGAAGAAUUUAAGUUUCAAAGUCAGAUGAGUUUGCUACUCAACCUUCAUCAUGGUUGUAGCUUUCGCUCCCAGAAUACAAGGCCAGAGAGGCACCAACCAGGAGGCAAACUUCACCUUCAAGGCCAGGCAACGCCUGGCUACAGUUAGACCCCGCAGCAGGGUUAAAGAAGGCUACAGUUAGACCCCGCAGCAGGGUUAGAGAAGUCUCUCCAGCAAGGCUGGGAGUUCAGCUUCCAAUAGAUCUAGAGGGCCAGGAGAAAAAGCAUGCUGAGUGCCUGGCGGCAUCUAGUGGUCACUAGUGGUCACUGCCAGUCAUCAGCUUUCCUCCAAUAAACCAGUUAUCAUGAGAAUAUAAAACAAUCAGGAAGAAAAAAAAGUGUAGCUUUUUUUUUUUUUUUUUUUUUUUUUGA
rnacentral:lncRNA from 1 species